AUUGAACGCUGGCGGCAGGCCUAACACAUGCAAGUCGAGCGGUAACAGGGGAAGCUUGCUUCUCGCUGACGAGCGGCGGACGGGUGAGUAAUGUAUGGGGAUCUGCCCGAUAGAGGGGGAUAACUACUGGAAACGGUGGCUAAUACCGCAUAAUCUCUAAGGAGCAAAGCAGGGGACCUUCGGGCCUUGCGCUAUCGGAUGAACCCAUAUGGGAUUAGCUAGUAGGUGGGGUAAUGGCUCACCUAGGCGACGAUCCCUAGCUGGUCUGAGAGGAUGAUCAGCCACACUGGGACUGAGACACGGCCCAGACUCCUACGGGAGGCAGCAGUGGGGAAUAUUGCACAAUGGGCGCAAGCCUGAUGCAGCCAUGCCGCGUGUGUGAAGAAGGCCUUCGGGUUGUAAAGCACUUUCAGCGAGGAGGAAGGCGUUGUAGUUAAUAACUGCAGCGAUUGACGUUACUCGCAGAAGAAGCACCGGCUAACUCCGUGCCAGCAGCCGCCGUAACAC
rnacentral:rRNA from 1 species